AACGAACGCUGGCGGCAGGCUUAACACAUGCAAGUCGAACGCCCUCUUCGGAGGGAGUGGCAGACGGGUGAGUAACGCGUGGGAACCUACCUAUCAGUACGGAACAACACAGAGAAAUUUGUGCUAAUACCGUAUACGUCCUUCGGGAGAAAGAUUUAUCGCUGAUAGAUGGGCCCGCGUUAGAUUAGCUAGUUGGUGAGGUAAUGGCUCACCAAGGCGACGAUCUAUAGCUGGUCUGAGAGGAUGAUCAGCCACACUGGAACUGAGACACGGUCCAGACUCCUACGGGAGGCAGCAGUGGGGAAUAUUGGACAAUGGGCGAAAGCCUGAUCCAGCCAUGCCGCGUGAGUGAUGAAGGCCCUAGGGUUGUAAAGCUCUUUCAACGGUGAAGAUAAUGACGGUAGCCGUAGAAGAAGCCCCGGCUAACUUCG
rnacentral:rRNA from 1 species